rnacentral:pre_miRNA from 1 species
AAUGAGAUCAUUUUUCAUUUUUUUAUAUAAUGUUUUGACUCUUCGUCUUAUUUAAAAUUUUUUGCGAUUAAUAUUUUUAUUCUUACUAGAUGAUAAAACAUGAAUACUAAUUUAUACGUGACUAAUUUUUUUAAGUUUUUUAUAAAAUUUUCAAAUAAGACGAAUGGUCAAACGUUGGACACGGAAAAAC